AAUGAGGAAAGCUGCAACAGCUGAAGAAGAUGCAGUCGAUGCAAUUAAAAUAUCCCCGUGGAUUGCUGUUAAAGAGAUAUCAUCUCCCUUUUUCCCAUUAUACACAGAGUGGUCAAGUCACCAGCUGGGACUGCAGAACCUUCCCUGCCACUGUGCAGCUAUCCAGCACAAACUUACAGCCCCUAUCCAGAUAUCUGUGAAGACAUCUGAAAAUACAGUGCUUGAACAUCUAUGCUGCAGUAAAAUCCAGCUCUUCCUGAGCAUCUGUGCCUGGAUGGAAACCCGAUAGGAGUUGUCAUAGCAUGGACUGUGAUGAGCUGACACUGCACUGCCAUUUGCAAGCGGUGCCCAACGAAACAAAAAGCUCUUCCCUUGUCCCCUGUCAUCACCUCUGUCACAUCAAACUGCUGAGACCAACCCUUGUCUCUCUCUCUGAAAUAUAUUAACCUUGUCUCUCUCUUGUGUCACUGCUCUAAUUGAGACUUAAUGUAUUUACCUCUGUUUUUGCCACCCUCCCGCUCCCUGUUACUCGUUCUGUGUUGUGUCAGCAUCCCUAAGCACGUGCCCCC
ensembl:lncRNA